GACGAACGCUGGCGGCGUGCUUAACACAUGCAAGUCGAACGGAAAGGCCCUGCUUUUGUGGGGUGCUCGAGUGGCGAACGGGUGAGUAACACGUGAGUAACCUGCCCUUGACUUUGGGAUAACUUCAGGAAACUGGGGCUAAUACCGGAUAGGAGCUCCUGCUGCAUGGUGGGGGUUGGAAAGUUUCGGCGGUUGGGGAUGGACUCGCGGCUUAUCAGCUUGUUGGUGGGGUAGUGGCUUACCAAGGCUUUGACGGGUAGCCGGCCUGAGAGGGUGACCGGCCACAUUGGGACUGAGAUACGGCCCAGACUCCUACGGGAGGCAGCAGUGGGGAAUAUUGCACAAUGGGCGGAAGCCUGAUGCAGCAACGCCGCGUGCGGGAUGACGGCCUUCGGGUUGUAAACCGCUUUCGCCUGUGACGAAGCGUGAGUGACGGUAAUGGGUAAAGAAGCACCGGCUAACUACGUGCCAGCAGCCGCGGUGAUACGUAGGGUGCGAGCGUUGUCCGGAUUUAUUGGGCGUAAAGGGCUCGUAGGUGGUUGAUCGCGUCGGAAGUGUAAUCUUGGGGCUUAACCCUGAGCGUGCUUUCGAUACGGGUUGACUUGAGGAAGAUAGGGGAGAAUGGAAUUCCUGGUGGAGCGGUGGAAUGCGCAGAUAUCAGGAGGAACACCAGUGGCGAAGGCGGUUCUCUGGGCCUUUCCUGACGCUGAGGAGCGAAAGCGUGGGGAGCGAACAGGCUUAGAUACCCUGGUAGUCCACGCUGUAAACGGUGGGUACUAGGUGUGGGGUCCAUUCCACGGGUUCCGUGCCGUAGCUAACGCUUUAAGUACCCCGCCUGGGGAGUACGGCCGCAAGGCUAAAACUCAAAGGAAUUGACGGGGCCCCGCACAAGCGGCGGAGCAUGCGGAUUAAUUCGAUGCAACGCGUAGAACCUUACCUGGGUUUGACAUGGAUCGGGAGUGCUCAGAGAUGGGUGUGCCUCUUUUGGGGUCGGUUCACAGGUGGUGCAUGGCUGUCGUCAGCUCGUGUCGUGAGAUGUUGGGUUAAGUCCCGCAACGAGCGCAACCCUUGUUCACUGUUGCCAGCACGUUAUGGUGGGGACUCAGUGGAGACCGCCGGGGUCAACUCGGAGGAAGGUGGGGAUGACGUCAAGUCAUCAUGCCCCUUAUGUCCAGGGCUUCACGCAUGCUACAAUGGCCGGUACAGAGAGUGGCGAGCCUGUGAGGGUGAGCGAAUCUCGGAAAGCCGGUCUCAGUUCGGAUUGGGGUCUGCAACUCGACCUCAUGAAGUCGGAGUCGCUAGUAAUCGCAGAUCAGCAACGCUGCGGUGAAUACGUUCCCGGGGCU
rnacentral:rRNA from 1 species